CCUACGGGAGUCUGCAGUGGGGGAUAUUGCACAAUGGGGGGAACCCUGAUGCAGCGACGCCGCGUGGGUGAAGAAGCGCCUCGGCGCGUAAAGCCCUGUCAGCAGGGAAGAAAAUGACGGUACCUGAAGAAGAAGCCACGGCUAACUACGUGCCAGCAGCCGCGGUAACACGUAGGGGGCAAGCUUUAUCCGGAUUUACUGGGUGUAAAGGGGGCGCAGACGGCGAUGCAAGCCAGGAGUGAAAGCCCGGGGACCAACCCCGGAACUGCUAUUGGAACUGGGUGGCUGGAGUGCAGGAGGGGCAGGCGGAAUUCCGGGUGUAGCGGUGAAAUGCGUAGAUAUCAGGAGGAACACCGGUGGCGAAGGCGGCCUGCUGGACUGCAACUGACGUUGAGGCCCGAAAGCGUGGGGAGCAAACAGGAUUAGAUACCCCUGUAGUC
rnacentral:rRNA from 1 species